UUGGGUGCUACACGUUGGUAUUUAUAUAUAGAUACAUAUACAGAUUUCAAAACAUAUAAAAUUGAGAAAUAUCUCCUUAUCAUAUGGGCAGCAACGUUAUUCAAUUUCGUAUCGGGUUUCGUUCACCGCUUGGAUUUCGUUGUUCCAUUUUGUCGUGUCAUUGGAUCCGGACUUUCUUCAAAGUAAAGUAAAGAGGAAGAAGAUUAUUUCUUGGCAUAUAAGAUUGGGAAGCCCGGGAUCUGGUUUGUGGUAAGCUUGGCUACGGUUGAUCUACGACAGAUUGGGAAGCCCGGGAUCCGGUUUGUGGUAAGCUUGGCUACGGUUGAUCUACGACAGGUACAGAUAGUCGGUUUGGUGACCCUCCAGCAUAGGACUUCUACUCAGCUGUCUUGGAGAGCUCCGUUGUUCCAGAGCCUAGACUUUUGCUGAAGAAGGACAUCGACAGAAGAAAGUGACUGAUGAUAUUAGAAGCUACACAGUACACAGGUAAGCAACGGUGCGAAAGAGGCAUGUCGGAUAGGGUAAGAUUAUUGAGGUAUGAUUGAAAUGUAAAGUUGAGGAAUGAAAGAGAAGGUUGAUACAAAGGUCUAACAGGACGGAUCGUUAAAGGAUCAGGUACGUCUCGAGGUGCGAUAUGUGAGGUAAGUUUCGACACCUUUAUACUUUUUACUUGAAAUUGGGAGCCCUAUGUGGCUAUGAUACGAUAUUAUAUAUACGUAUAUAUGUUGGCCCUGUGAGGCAUUGUUGGUAUUUCCUGCGUGCAGGUUUUGGGAUAGUAAGAAGUGCAGAGGACACUCUGCCCAAAUUUUCCCAGAAAUAGAAAAAAGAGAAUGAGAUAUAAGUUCAUAAUAUGUCUUGAAGGUCGAUACCGAUUGGGUAAAUUUAUUAUGUUAGAUUAAAUCUUUAAGAGAUACCCUCCAUGUCAUCCGUAAGAGGCACCAUUCUUACUUGGGAAAUUUUAUUUCGAAGAAGCAUAUAUGAGCAGCAAAGUUUGGAAUUCAUUUGAACGGACCAGAAUACUCUCUAGCCACAUUUUUACCUUAGAAAAGCUCAUGUUGAAGGGCAAAAUACGUCCAGCAAUUAAGUUUCACUUUUAUUGAAACGUACAAAGCAUACAGCAAAUAUUUUAUGAACUAAAUAAUUUGUUCACGACUCAAGAAUAAAUCUGGAGGUAAACCAUGUGAAUCAAGCACUAGAAGCCCUGUGGUGCUUGUUAGAUUCUAGUUUUCUUCUUGUGGUGGUUGGAGAAUGCCUCAUGGUGACAUUUUAUUAGUUAUUAAUAAACUAAUUGGAGAUGGAAUUUGUGGAAGGAAAAUUCAAACUUGUGGGCUGUCUAGGAUCAUGUGUUUCAUAUGUUGAUGAAAUGCUAGGAUAAUUCGGAAGGGCUUGUGAUACUAAGGGAUGAUUUAGAAAAAGGUGGCAAAUCUUAACAAAACAUUUUAUUGAGAUAUCGAGUGAACUGAUAAGUAGGGAUAAAUUAUGACGAGUUUACAGUUAAAAGGAGUAAUAGUAUUAUUGAGAUAAAAGUACGGAGGAGGAAGAAUUAUGACAAAUUAUGUAGUUAUUGAUAAGACAGCUUGUGAGAUAUUAAGGAUAAGAUUGAUCAGAAAGGGUGAAGGGUUAAAUACGCCUGCUCCACAGAGUGCAAUUAAAACAUAGUAAGAAUCGUGAAUAAGGUUAGGGAGUGUUAUGUUAUAGGAUGGAUUACGAACAGGAUAUAAUGUGAAUACCAUAAGGAUUGUUAUAGAAAUGAGUAAAGCCUAGCAAGGAAGUAACUAAAGGAUAUGAUGUGAUCAGCGUGAAACGGAAAAGCAAAUAUAGAACAAAAAAAAAGAUUUACAAAGUCCUAUAGGGAAAGUUCAGAAUAGAGAUCAAGUGGUAACGAAAGUGAAAGCGAGCACGGGGAGAGAAGGAGUUAAUAGAAGGAAGAAGAUAAGAAGAAAGCGAGUGGGAUUACAGUGUAGCAAUGUGUUAUGACGUGUAUAGCUGAGAAAAUGAGUAAUAUAAGCGACAGAAUUGUGAAAGACCGAACUAAAGGAAGAUGAGCAACGGGACAGAAUGAAUGCCAGAAAUGACUGGUAUGAUAAGAACAAAUAGGGAUGAACAGAACAUACUUUGAAAAUGAGAAAGGGGUUAUGUAGAAGUAGUGUUUUCCGAAGGAUAUGGGAGUAGCAUGAGAUUCCUCGUGCACAAAAUAAAAUAUGGACAUACACUAGAGAAAUGAAAGGAAUACUAAAGGAAGCACUCAAGACAGACAUAAUUAAUUGAGUAUGAGUAUACGAUAAAAGGGAAAUAUAUAGCUACAAAAUUAAGGUGGAGUAUGACGAGAAGGUGAUAAGACAAGACCACUAUUAAAACGAAUUUGAUAUGAUUUUGAGUAAGUUAGAAGUUAGCGUUGGGUAAACAACAAGGGUGAAAUAGCGUAAGGCAUAAAGGAAUACUGCGUGUAUGUGACUUCACCUCGAAAAUAGUGGAAUCCUUAAAGGACAGGGAUUGUGGAUUUGCGAAACAACUGACGUAUUGUGAAUUUAUUAGAAGAAACAGAUGAUAUCUGUUGGGAUAAAGAUAGUGUUAUAGGAAAGCUUGGGACACUUAUCAUCAGAAUAUAAGUGCUACCUAAUUGAGAAUUUGAAACGACUAUAAGCACUAGCUAAUUACUGAUCGGAAUAAAUGGAAUGUGGCUUUGGUUAAGGUUUCGUACGUGGGGAAUCAAAGUUAUAAAUGAUAAAAAAAAGGCAUCGAUAUGGUAUAAGUACAACCCCAAAGGGGGGGAAGCGGGUGAAAGCAAAGUAAGUAUAAAUGGAAACAAUUGACACUGAAAUAUAUUUGAUAUAAAUGCUUAAAUUUCAAUUGAGAUCCCUUGCUGAAACAAGUUAAUAAGCUCUGAUAGCCAGCAAUGAAUGGAUAGAAGAAAGGAUGGUAUUUGAGACAAGACUAAGGAUCAAAUGUAAGGAUUCUGUAUAAUAUGACAUUAGAAAGUGAAUGCUUAUAAAAAGGAAGAAUACGACAAGAAAAUGGUAACGAGUAGCUUAAGAGAUAUUAUAAAGGAUAGCAACGCUAUACUGGAUUAGAGGUUAAGGCAUUGGCAAUAGGGUUUCUUGCUAAUGAUACUGUAACUUAUAAGUAGCAAAGGAGGAAGGACAAGAAAUCUCCUAUAGUAGGAUAUGAGAAAAUCAAAUGGUGAAUAAGGAAAGGGGAAGGAACAUGACAAGAUAAACCGCAAGUGAGUUCUAGUACAAAUAAGAUAUGCAAAACAGAAUAAACCAGGAGAGGGGAAAACUAUGACUAAGAUUGAAUAUACUCUAUACAAGUUGUACAAGAAUAGUUAUGCAAUCUAUGAAUAUUUCUAUGCUAAAAAUGAGACCAAGUGAGUACUUGAUAAGAAGAGUAAGGAUUUAGUAAUAACAAUGUGGUUACGAUAUUUUGGAUACAUUAGGGAAAGGUGUAAGAUGGUUUGAACCCAAGUACCGAGAUGAAAUUAGUACUGAGGGAAAAAACCAUAGUUAAGGACUAGUUAUAUCAAUUGAAAGAUAUAAGAGAAGAAUAUAGGGUCUGCAUAAAGACUAGCGAGGCGACGCUAAGGUAUUUUUCGGGCUGAUUUGAGCCCCUACACAUACUCUUGUAAAGAUUGCAGCACAAUGCGUGAUAGAAAAACUAAGAGUAAAAUCAGAGUAAAGAAGCAAUAGAAGGGUUUGAAUUAAUAAUAAAGAAACAACACGAAAUAAUAUGUCUAAAGUGUUAUAGGUUGGACUAAGUGAAAUUGUGAAAUGGUUUAAGCGAGAUAACCAGAACGAGCUGGUUAAGACAGUGAAUUUAUAUGACAAAAAUAAAUUAAAAAAUUCAGAAUUAUACCAGUUGGUGAUAGACAGAUUACAGAGCAUUUAUGUAAAGUUAUUAUGAGGGAACUCCAGUGCUACUUGAUAGCCAACUCUAAAGAUCGAGAUUAAGAGCUAAAAGGUAAAGUGACAGUGAAAGUCGAGAAGUGAGAUAUGAUAUUAGUAAUGGACACGAGUAAUGAUAUUAGUAAUGGACACGAGGUUAUUCCCCAAGCGUAUAUGUGGUUAAAGUGAUAGUACACAUGUAUCGUAAGGAUUUGAAGUUAAACCAAUCUAAGAAAAUAAGUUUUGUCGAGGUUCGAAAUUUAUUUGAUAAAAUACGAUCCAAGCUAUAAAAUCCUGUAUUUUCGGACUAGAAAAUUGAAUCGUCCAACAGGAGCAAAUUUACCCAAGCCCAGAGAAUUCGAUCAUAUCCAAGGAUGAAAAUCAAGAGCUCGGUGUAUACAAGGAAUGAAGUCCCAAAAUUAUUUAGAACGAAAAAGUGUGACGACGGUGAUUGAAAAUAAUAUUUUAUGUGUGAAAAAUGAGGCUAUGGACCAUGUUACACUACAUGAUUAUUAUAAUGAGUAUAUGAAGUAUGUUAAAAAUGAUUACUAAUUAAGUGAAUCGAGAUCAAGAAAUUAAUCAUAUGUGUAAUUGAGUAAAUUGGGGAUCAUGGUGGAAGUAAAUAAAUCAAUUGGAAUAGUUGGAUAAUUUUUAGGAUAGACACAUGUCCCUGUGACUCAUGGCUAGGUGGAAGAAAGUUGAUGUGUGUGCUUGCAUUUAUAUAAGUGAUGGCACCUUUAAGUGAUUAGUGUCAAAUUGUAGGCCAUAGAGACCCCACGUUUAAGGACAAGGAUGUAUUGCAACCUAUAUCAGUUAUGUUGCAAUUUAUUUAAGGAAAGAUGACGUUGCAUAUAUAUAUUUAACAAGCAGCACCAUAUUUAUAUUAUUGAAGGAAUAGCAACAGCUCACAAAGAAAGGAACAGCAACGUCCUUGCUCAUUCUCUUUUUGGAAAAAAAAUCAUUUUCUUUCCUUUUUACUUAUAAAAAAAAUGGGUGGUGCACGUUGGUAUUUAUAUAUAGAUACAUAUACAAAUUUCAAAACAUAUAAAAUUGAGAAAUAUCUCCUUAUCAUAUGGGCAGCAACGUUAUUCAAUUUCGUUUCUCCUCUCCUAGGUAUAUUUAAAUUCAUCCAGGUCAUAGUUAUAUUGUGGGAUGAGAAAUACGAAAAUUAUACCGUAAAUCGUAUUUGAUCUUGUUGGUUGCUUAUGGGCUGUAUGUUGGACUGUUUUGUGAGUUAGGUGGACGUUGGUAUGGGUGGGAAUUUAUUUAUAUAGAAUGAAUAAGAUGUUCUUGAGGUUGUUAUAUACGUCCAUGUGUUUAUGAAAAGAACUGAUGGAAGAUUUGUCUAUAUAGAUUUGGACUAAAACUCGAGGAAAGAGAUUUUGUGUUCUUGAAUUAGUUCAAAAGGGAUUAUGGCAUAAUUCUUACUUAGUUUGAUAUGGCAACUUGUAUGUACGAUUGUUGCUAAUGUUGUUACCAUUGAUUUGAAGUUGCUUAAAGUUGGAUUGGAGUGGGUAACAUAGGGGAGGUGCUGCCCGAAUUUUAUUAAGUAACGUGCUAGCUUAGGCUAUGGAUUUUGAGCGCGCUAUAGUUAAUACUUGAUAUCAAUAAUAUUACUGUAGAUUGGGAAGCCCGGGAUCCGGUUUGUGGUAAGCUUGGCUACGGUUGAUCUACGACAGGUACAGAUAGUCGGUUUGGUGACCCUCCAGCAUAGGACUUCUACUCAGCUGUCUUGGAGAGCUCCGUUGUUCCGGAGCCUAGACUUUUGGUACAGAUCUUAUGAUGUAUACGUAUAUGUUUAUCCAGGGGUACGGCGGGGCCCUGUCCCGUGAUAUUUCGCUAUCGAUACUCUUAGAGGUCUGUAGACAUAUGUGUGGGUUGGGUAUAAGUUCUGUUCAGCUGUGUCUAUACGAUGUGCUAUGAUAUGAUGUUCGUCUGUAGUGGCAGCCUUGUCGUCUUGCGUAUCAUUUUAUGAUUUGAUUAGUUGUGACUCCUCAGGAGAUAGUUUAUCUUGAUAUGUAUAUA